rnacentral:rRNA from 1 species
CUACGGGGGGCAGCAGUGAGGAAUAUUGGUCAAUGGGCGCGAGCCUGAACCAGCCAUCCCGCGUGCAGGAUGACGGCCCUAUGGGUUGUAAACUGCUUUUCUAUGCCAAGAAACCUGAUUACGUGUAAUCAGUUGCCGGUAGCAUAGGAAUAAGCAUCGGCUAACUCCGUGCCAGCAGCCGCGGUAAUACGGAGGAUGCAAGCGUUAUCCGGAUUCAUUGGGUUUAAAGGGUGCGCAGGUGGGCUUGUAAGUCAGUGGUGAAAUGCUGCCGCUUAACGGUAGAACUGCCAUUGAUACUGCGAGUCUUGAGUAUGGUUGAGGUAGGCGGAAUGUGUUGUGUAGCGGUGAAAUGCAUAGAUAUGACACAGAACGCCAAUUGCGAAGGCAGCUUACUAAGCCAUUACUGACGCUGAGGCACGAAAGCGUGGGGAGCGAACAGGAUUAGAUACCCUAGUAGUC